GUCGCGCCCGCGAGCUUUUGCUACCAGCGCUCGGUGCGUGUGGUGCGGCUCCCGGCAUGGUGACUGUUUCUGGAAGGAAUUCGGAUAUUGCCUGUAAAAGUACUCCGUGAUGCCUGGGCGGUCUGCCAGUGUCUGCUCUAGCCCGCUGCAUUGUUGACCCGAGAGGGGGCGGACCUGCCACCGGUCCGAUGCUCGACUACCUCCGACCUAUCGCCACACAGACUCUGAACGGUGCAGCAGUGUGGGAGUGAGUAUACGAGGAGUGUGGCUCCGGUACAGCUGACACCAGACGUCCGUCCAUCGGCCAGUCGCCACUGAACGGACCUCCACCGAACUCCGAAAUCUCCAGCCGCCUCGUAUCUGGACUGAGGUUCAGCUCACCAGAGGGAGAUGCCGGCCCCACUCCAGCACACCACCGGGACCCGCCACAGGAGUCGGCUUACCAGGUUGUUUGCACGCGAAGAUCUUCAAACAAGGAGCGUCAAGAGUCGGAGAACAGAGGAACCGCGUCUAACGGGGGAGGGAGAAGGGGGAGAGGGGUAAUCAGGUCGGAGGUAGCGUGCCUGCCUUCUCCCUUGAUUAUCCCCUCCCCUAUCAUGUGUAAGGGAGAGGGGUAAUCCGGGGGGACGGAGGUAGGCGCGCCUGCCUCCUCUCCUGAUUAUCCCCUCCCCCUAUCAUGUGUGGGGGGAGAGGGGUAAUCGGGGAGACGGAGGUAGGCAUGCCUGCCUUACCUCCUGAUUAUCCCCUCCCCUAGCGCGCGGAGGGGGGGAAGGGGUAAUUUGGGGAGGUAAGUGUCCCUGCCUCCCCUGAUUAUCACCAUGUGCGAGGGGGGGGGGGUAAUCCAUCCCCUGCUGUGUAUAGUUGUGCGCGGGGGGGGGGGGGGCUAUGUCAUACAUGUGAAGGAGAAUACAUACAUGUCAUCUACCGGAAGGAGAAAAAUACAUGUGACACCACUUC